rnacentral:rRNA from 1 species
AGGACGAACGCUGGCGGCGUGCUUAGCACAUGCAAGUCGAGCGAGGCUCCUCCUUCGGGAGGAUGUCCGAGCGGCGAACGGGUGAGUAACACGUGGGCAACCUGCCCCUAGCACUGGGAUAACCCCGGGAAACCGGGGCUAAUACCGGAUACGACAUCAGAAGGCAUCUUCCGAUGUGGAAAAGGUUUACUGGCUAGGGAUGGGCCCGCGGCCUAUCAGCUUGUUGGUGGGGUAAUGUCCUACCAAGGCGACGACGGGUAGCCGGCCUGAGAGGGCGACCGGCCACACUGGGACUGAGACACGGCCCAGACUCCUACGGGAGGCAGCAGUGGGGAAUUUUCGUCAAUGGGGGCAACCUGAACGAGCAACGCCGCGUGCAGGAAGAAGGUUUUCGGAUCGUAAACUGCUUUUCGCGGGGAAGAGAACGGACGGUACCCGAGGAAUCGAGCCCCGGCUAACUACGCGCCAGCAGCCGC